rnacentral:antisense_RNA from 1 species
UUCUAUGGCGGGCCAGGCGGGGGACACCUUCGGGUGUGCCGGUUGGUGUACGUGUCCGGUCUGCUAACCCCGCCUCGGCCCGCCCCCCCA